rnacentral:misc_RNA from 1 species
CAAUCAUUGCGUGAAUUGUCCACGUGUGCAACCUUAAAAGUCAAAUGCGAUACGCGCUAACGUAAAUAACACGAUAAGUCGACAUAGUAUAACAAACGUUUCUUUCGUUGUGUUCGACAAGUAAAACGUAGCUCAAAAAGUAGAACGCGGCUAAGUAUCCUUAAAAAGUACUAUAAUGAAGAUAAACAAGCCUAAAGGAGAGAGCCAGUCGCAAAAUAUUGAGAUUGACCAUUCUUAUUCUAAAUCAUAAUAUUUAUCACUUACGACGAAGAUUAAUAUUCUUUCAACAUUACUUCGAUAUGCAAGUGCAAAAGCAUUUUUUUCACUUUUUCGUUAUUUUUUAUACUGAUCAUUCUAUACUGAUUAAACCUUUUAGAAGCAACAGCCCUAUCACAGUGUGGCUCGGAGAUGAAGGCUAUUUCUUUCUCCUUAUGCGGACCAGACUUUAUAAAACAGACUCUAUUUGUUUAAUUUCCUUCUCGGGUGGUUCUUGUGGAGAUGGUGCAGUUUCUAUGAUUUCAGGAAUAUCUUCUUCGUUCUCUUCUUCGAUAUCUUCAUCGAUUGGAGUCAAUGUAUCUAAUAUCACAGGCUGGGUCUGUAAUAGAAUUAUUCUUACUCGUUAAUUUCCAUUACUCUAAAUAAUGUUUAUUACUUGUUACUAUAUAUCUACCUGCGGCGUUGUGCACCGUUUCAUAGCUGGCGCCAUGAAACUAGUAACCGUGCUUAUAAGGAAGAAAAAUCCUGCCAUAAAGAAUGGGAUACUGUAGCUUUGUGUUGCGUCAUAAACGGCACCCGCCAAAGGUGAACCAAUAAUAGCUGCAGCUCCUCUAAAUAAGAUUAAAAGACCAAAUGCAUUGGUCAAUUUGUCUAGCCCUAAGAGAUCCACCAAAAUAAUCGACGUCAAAGAAAUGUAUCCAGCUGAAAUAUUACACAAACAUAUAAUAUUGACGCACAUAAUGAGAUCCAUAAUAACAUUUAUUAAUUUCAAUACUUACAUAUAGCUAUACCGAAAAGAAUGCUCAUAAUGAUAUAAGCAGGAUAAGAAUGGCAGAACGGUAUCGCAGCUACAGCAACUGUCGAUAUAAUUAAGCAGAUGUUGUUCAAUAAUAGUGAAUCUACUUGUGGAAAAUCCGCGAUAUAUCCACAAGCUACACGGCCCAGAGUAUUAGUAAUUCCAAUUAUAGAUACUAAAUAUGAUGCAAGAGUCUUGUCAAUAUUCUAAAAACAAUUAACAUUGAAAAACUGAUCAUACAACAAACAAUAUGUAGUAAAAAGAAUAUCCUAUAAUCUUUAACUUACAUCUAAGACCGCAGCGUCUAAUAAAUAUACAAACGGCACGUAUAAUCCAGCCAUUCCAAAUACAUUACUGAUACCAAUUAAAAGAAACACUGGAUCCUUUAGUAAAGAUAGAUCCAUCAUCGUUGACAAAGCUUCUUUAAACGAUUCAGGUAAUACCAAACAGGGACAUAGAGGUUCUGUAACAUUUACUAUGUUUUAAUAAAUGUUUAUGAAUAGUUA